AAAAAACAUCCAUAAAAACAUUCAAACACACACAUACAUUUUUUACUAUAUUUUUUCUUUUUUCCUUUUCUUUUUCUUUUCUUUUUUUUUUACAUCCACAAUACAAAAUUUAACUUCAAAACAACUAAACAAAAAUUACAAUAAUAACCCCAAAACAAACUGGAAUUUACAGGGAACACCUUCUGCACCACAAGAACAGUGUCAGGCAGACUUCUGAAGCUGCAAGGCAGUGGCGGCGCGUCUUCCCCACGCGCCACCUCCACUAGCGGCGCGUCGGUUCACCCGCCGCCGCGAGGAAGAAACUGGAAACAGUGGGAUCUGGCUCAGCCCCUUCUCCUCUUCCUUUCCCUGCCGGCGGUGACAUCCACCGUCACCUGUAAAAGAAGAAAAAACACAAGCAAAGUUUCGGUUCUUCCUCCCCUUUUUUAGAUCUGCUCUCUUCUGGUUUCUCUCUUUCUCUUGGUUCGGUGAUUUUUCUUCUGCAGGUAAUAGAUCUGGCGGUUGGGCUGUCGUCCGUGGCAGCUGAAGCUGCGGUGGAGAUGUGAGUGGUUGUUCGGUCGGAGGGCGAAGAAGAAAUGGCGCCUGCGGCUGAAGAGGGAGACCGUAGGUCUGUAGGCGCCGCUGCUGGAGAAGGGCUGCUGCUGACCGGUUGAAGGAGAUGACGAAGAGAUGUUAUGCGUGAGAAACUUAGUGAUCCAAACUGUAUUGGGUCGUCUGGCCGGAUUUGGAAGGUAGAAAACGUAUUAGGGAAGAAAGGGAAGGAAUCGGUGUGUAAACAUGGAGGAGGUGUGAGUAAGUUGGUGACAGUAGCAAGUUUGUUAACUUUCCUCAAUUGAAGGAGAGUCAUUCAUUUCUCAUUUCUUUUCACGUGAAUAUUCAUGCAGUCUGUUACAGGUAUAUAUAGGCUGAAACUGUUCUAGAUUACCCCCUCAGCUGCUCUUGAUGAUUUUAUUACAUUUAACUAAACGAUGCGUUUAAAGGAAAUAAUAAAACGGUGCAGUAUAGAUGCUUAAUGAAACGGUGUGUUUCCAGUAACGGUUACUUAAAUUUGAAUCUCUUAUCAAUCCUCUUCUUCUCCAUCUUCAGGUGUUAACAAUCGCCCUCCCUUGAAUCCAACCUUGUCCUUAAGGUUGAAACUUGGGAACCGUAUGCUCAAUUCAUCAGUGAAUUCCCAAGUGGCGUCCGCAGGUGCUAGUCCCUCCCAGUGAACCAGUACUUGAGUGGUACCUUUGUCUUUUUGUCGUGCUAAACGUCUGUCUAAUAUGGCUCUUGGUUGCAGGCAAGGUGUUGGUUGUUGUGAUGGAAGAGUCUGCUGCACGAUCUGGUUGCCCACAUGCUUCUUGAGUUGGGAGACGUGGAAAAUAGGAUGAAUCAUUGACUGUGGAGGCAGAUUGAGCAUGUAUGCCACGGUUCCCACCUUGGCUAACACUUGGUAAAGACCGUAGUAUUUUGCAGCUAAUUUGUGUGAAACUCUAGCAGCUGUGGAUUGUUGUUUGUAUGGUUGAAGUUUAAGAUAAACAUAAUCCUUUACCUCAAAACUUCUGUCACUCCGUCUCCUGUUUGCAAUUGUAAUCAUUCUAUGCUGAGCUAUCUGUAGGUGUGACCUGACCCUCUUAAUCAGAGCUUCCUUGGUAGUUAGAUAGGCAUCCACUGACUCGACUGCUGAAUCCCUAGGAAAAUAAGGAAUGUGUAUGGGAGGAGGGACCCCGUAUAACACUUCAUAGGGUGUCAUCUUGGUAGCAGAGUGAUAAUUUGUGUUGUACCACCACUCUGCAAGGGAAAGCCAUUUCGCCCAUUGGUGAGGGUGAUCUCCAGUCAUACACCUUAGGUAGUGUUCGAUGCAUUUGUUGACAAUUUCGGUCUGACCAUCAGUCUGCGGGUGGUAGGCUGUAGAGUAGUGAAGAUCCACUCCCUGUAUGUUGAACAACUCCUUCCAAAACCUGCUGAGGAAUACUGGAUCCCUGUCACUAGUAACAGAUGCUGGCAAUCCAUGUAGUUUGUAUAUAUUGUCCAUAAACAGUUUGGCAACUUUAGGAGCAGAAUAGGGGUGGCUUAGGGCUAGGCAAUGAGCAUACUUACUGAAUCGAUCCACCACCACCAGAAUGACAUCCUUUCCCUCAGAUUUGGGUAGGCCUUCGACAAAAUCCAUGCUGAUAUGGAUGAAUGGUGCAUACGGAAUAGGCAGUGGCUGCAGAAGACCUGGGCUAGCCACAUUUUCAUGUUUGUUUCUUUGACACACACUGCAUUCUCGAACGUGUUGCCUUAUGUGUUUUUGUUGUCCCCUCCAGUAGAAUAAACUUCCCACCGAUUUAGCAGUAACCCUCAUGCCCGAAUGCCCUCCCACAGUUGAGUUAUGGAACAUGGAGAUAAUUUUACCUCGUAGUUCCUCAUUACUACCUACCACUAUCUUUCCCUUCCUGUUAAGGUGGCCAUUAACCCACGUAUAGUGUGGAUGAGAGGCUGGAGAUUGCUGUAAUUCUUGAAUGAGAGUCUGAAUUAUAGGAUCCUGGUUAUAAGACUGCACAAUCUCUUCCAUGAAAGUUGUAGAAAUAGUGAAAGUUAUCAAUGCCGAGAGUGCUGUGCUUGGGAUCCUGGAGAGUGCAUCUGCUUGAACAUUCUCCUUCCCUUGCUUGUAUUCUAUGUCAUAAUCAUAACCCAAAAGUUUAAUUAACCAUACAUGCUGGGCAGGAGUCGUCAGCUUCUGGUGUAGGAGGUAUUUUAGACUGAUGUGGUCAGUACGAAUGUGAAAGUGUCUUCCCCACAAGUAAUGUUUCCAUUUAGUGACUGCUUGCAGGAUUGCCAGCAUUUCCCUCUCGUAGACAGACAUGAUUUGUUGUUUAGGACCCAACGAUUUGCUUAUGAAAGCAAUGGGAUGGCCAUCUUGCAUUAGGACUGCCCCUACCCCUGUUAGAGAUGCAUCUGUUUCUACUACAAACUGUUUGCUGAAGUCUGGUAGAGCCAACACUGGAGCACUUGUCAUUAGUGUCUUUAAAAGUGUGAAUGCCUGUGUAGCUUCCUCAUUCCACCCCAAGGCCUCCUUUUUCAAUAGAUUAGUUAAGGGUUUAGAAAUGCUACCAUACCCCUUAACAAACCUUCGGUAAUAUCCUGUCAACCCCAAGAACCCCCUUAGCUGUUUAAGAUUCUUAUGAAUCGGCCAAUCGAGAAUCGCCUGAAUUUUGAGGGGGUCGGUUGCUACUCCUUGUGCUGAAAUGAUAUGGCCCAAGUAUUCCACCUGCCCUUUGCUGAAAAAACACUUGUUAGCUUUGGCAACUAACCGAUGCUCCUGUAAUAGUUCCAGAACGAUUUCCAGAUGCUUGUAAUGGUCAGUUAAGGACCUGCUGUAGACUAAGAUGUCAUCGAAGAACACCAGAAUGAAUUUUCGUAAAUGGUCUCUGAAAACUUCAUUCAUAAGGCUCUGAAAGGUGGCUGGAGCAUUAGUUAAGCCAAAUGGCAUAACCAGAAAUUCGUAAUGGCCACUGUGAGUCCUGAAGGCUGUCUUAAACUCGUCCCCUGUAUACAUUCGGAUUUGGUGGUAUCCUGAUCGAAGAUCGAUCUUGGAAAAUGUUGUUGCGCUUGCCAAUUCCUCUAGUAGUUCUUCAAUCAUUGGAAUAGGGUAUUUGUCUUUGAUAGUGAGCUUGUUUAAGGCUCUAUAAUCGACACAAAACCUCCAAGUGGAGUCCUUUUUCUUCACCAGAAUUACUGGCGAUGCAAAUGGGCUGUUGCUGGUUCUGAUAAUUCUAGCUGCUAGCAUCUCUUUCACCAUCUUUUCUAGAAUAUCCUUCUGGAGCCCUGAGUAUCGAUAAGGCCUUAGAUUGAUUGCUUCACUACCUGCUUUUAAUGGAAUUCUAUGGUCGUGAUUUCUAGGUGGUGGUAAUCCCUUCGGUUCAUGGAAUAACUCCCGGUAGGACUGAAGGAUAUUUAGCAGAUCAGUAUCCUUGAUGUCAGGAAACAGAGUGGUAAUUGUUCCUGCGCCUGUUACCUCCUCUUCUCCCCCUUCCAUUGUCAUUAGGCUACAUAAGAAGUAAUCGGCCACUUGCCCCUGAUUGCCCACUAAGGAACUCAGUUGCUUUAGUUCAAUGGUUUGGAACUUGGGCGGAUCCUCUCCUUUUAGCAAGACUCUCUCCACCUGCCAAUCAAAUGACAUCCAGAGGUGUUUGUAGUUGCAUAAGAUGUCCCCUAACAUGGAUAGCCAUUGUAUUCCCAAUACCAUUUCGCAGUUGCUAAGUUCAAUGAUAUAGACAUCUGUUUGGAAGCUUAUUCCCUGCAUCUUCCACCUGAGUUCCCUGCACAUGGAUUUGCACACCAUCUUCUCCCCAUUGGCUGCCUGCACUAUCAUGGGUUUUAUGGCUGUCAACUGAAACUGUAGUUUAAGGGCUAAGGUGGUGUUUAGGAAAUUGUGGGUGCUGCCAGAAUCUAUCAAAAUACAAACUGUAGUCUUAUCUAUUUUGCCAUUGACCUUCAUAGUGUUCAGUCCCACAGUCCCUUCUAAGGCAUCUAAGGAAAUAUAGGGCGUGAGUUCCCUGUCAUUAACUCUGUCUUCAAUCAACUCUUCCUCCAUUACUCCCUCUUCCUCCUCCACCACAUUAAGUGAAUACACCUUUUUAUUCUUAUAUCGGUGCCCUGGCACAAACUUGUCACCACACCAAAAACACAGCCCCUUCAGUCUUCUGUCCUCAAAGUCUUGGUUGCGAAUGGAUUUGGUGGUUUUCGUGUAGGAUUUUGUGUAGCUACUGCCAGGGUUAUUAGUCCAUGGAGUUGGAGUGGUUUUUUGUGGAGCUAUCUGAGGAUUUGUAGUGUUGGUUGUAGCCUGAGGUGGGUAAGUAGUUGUGGUUUGCACAGGGUGGUGUUGGAACACACUGGCUGGUCUCCUAACAUAGCCUGGGGAUUUCCUGUAUGUUUGGGUAUUGGAUUGCAGUCUAGAUAGAUUAUAUGCAUGUCUAAGGGUUUUCGGUUCAAACAUCUUGACUGUGUUUUUAAUCUCUGUUUCCAGUCCCCCUAGGAAGAUAACCAAAGCUUGUUUCUCACUUACUUCAGCUUUGUUCCACAAAAUAUCAAAGUCCUGGAUAUAUUCCUCCAAUUCUCCCCGUUGCUUCAACUCCAUCAAUUCCUCUAGAGGGUCUUGUUGGCCCCCAAACCGGUAGCAAAUGGCUUCCACAUAAUCUUCCCACGAUGAUUUUUGGUUUCCCAAACUUUUGAGGAAGUUUUGGUGCCAGUAAAGCGCAACUCCAUCAAGAUAAUAAGAUGCAAUUUGUAAUUUGUCUGAAUCAACAACCUCUUCUAUCUCAAAAUACUGUGUGCAUUUAAAUAGCCAUUUAUGCACAUCUUCCCCAUUGAAAGUAGGGAAAAAAUGUUUGGGUCGGUGUACCUUAUAAGUCGACAUUCUGUCCUCACGUGGCCCCUUGUCCCUGACUUCAGCUCCCUCUGGACUUGGAACUGGCCUCUCUGUGUUGUAACUUGAGCUUCCUGGAGCUUGAGAGAGUUUCAACAGAGUAAACUCUAUUUGUUGUGCCAUGGUGCCCAUCAUGUGCCUUAUAUCAUUAAUCUGUGUCCCCUGGUUCUCAAUGGUUUGAUCAAGCUUUAGACUCUGUCCCUUCAGUAUGUCCACCAGCUGUUCAUACUUCUGGCCACUGUCCUGCUUGACUGCUGUGAUGGCGUCUUCCAUGCGUUUGAUCUCAGCGUUUCUAGUGUCCGGUGGCAUGGUCGUAGUCCGUGGAUUGUCAGCUCUGAUACCACUUGUUAUGCGUGAGAAACUUAGUGAUCCAAACUGUAUUGGGUCGUCUGGUCGGAUUUGGAAGGUAGAAAACGUAUUAGGGAAGAAAGGGAAGGAAUCAGUGUGUAAACAUGGAGGAGGUGUGAGUAAGUUGGUGACAGUAGCAAGUUUGUUAACUUUCCUCAAUUGAAGGAGAGUCAUUCAUUUCUCAUUUCUUUUCACGUGAAUAUUCAUGCAGUCUGUUACAGGUAUAUAUAGGCUGAAACUGUUCUAGAUUACCUCCCCAGCUGCUCUUGAUGAUUUUAUUACAUUUAACUAAACGAUGCGUUUAAAGGAAAUAAUAAAACGGUGCAGUAUAGAUGCUUAAUGAAACGGUGCGUUUCCAGUAACAGUUACUUAAAUUUGAAUCUCUUAUCAAUCCUCUUCUUCUCCAUCUUCAGGUGUUAACAAGAGUGGGGGUUGUUGCUGUGUUCGGCUGCCGCUGGAGGAUGGUCGAACGAGAAAGGAGACCUGGUUCGGUCUGUGAUGGAGAAGAAGCUGAAACUGCCGGCGAGAAGGGAGAGUAAAGGGGUAUGACUCCGCCCUCUUUUGGUCUUGGCGAGCUGGUUCAGGAGAAAGGAAAAUGAGGGCUGGUGUCUGUGGUGUGUUGUGGGGUUGGGGACGAUGGAGAGGCUGGGAGAGGGAAGGUCUGGUGAGGGGUUGUCUUGGCUGAGAGGGGGAUGAUGGUGGCGGCCGGCGACUGAGGGAGAAGGAAGUGAGAUUGAGAGGGGGGGGCUUGAGCGGCUGCAGGAGGGGUCCAAGCUGGGGGGCGGCGGCGGCUUCUUAGAGAAGAGAUAGAUUUAGGUUUUCUCUUUUUCUUUUACUCUCCAAACUGCCCCCCUUCCCUCUGUAAAUUUCCUCCCCCUUUGGUAAUUUUUUUAAUAGUUAUAGGGUGAAAUGGUGCUUGUUAUUUAAAAUUUGUUCCUCAACUUUGUUUUUUUAUAAAAUUUUAAUUUUUAAUUUUUUUUAUAUUUUUAAAAAAUAAUAAUAUCAAUAUCGACUCAAUGAGAAAAAUCAAAAAUUUUAAAAAUGACAUGUGAAAAGUCGAACGCGUUAAAAAAACCUUUGAAAAAUUAAAUUUUUUUGAGACAAUGCUGAAAAUGCUAAAAACGAUGCAAAUAUAUUUAAAAUAUAUUUUUUUAGAUUUUCGUUGUUUUUCGCUAUUUUUGGAUUUUCCAAAAAUUUUAUCAAAAAGAUGGGUAAAAAAUUAAGUAACAACAAAUGCCUUCUCUUUACAAUACUUAUGAUGCAAAACUCCUCAAUGUUUUGCAUGGUAAGCUUUGUAAAAAAAAUAAAAGGAAAAUGAUCUUAUUAUCUUAGGCGACCGACCCCUUUUAAAGAAAAAUAGUCUAUUUUUAGAGGUGACUUGUCAACACACACUCACACUGGUCUAUUUUCAGAAAAUGCUGAAGUUACUUGAUUAUUCUUAUGAAUCAGAAAAGUGAGAAUUAAGCACAUGUUGAUCUCAAACAUAAAUCAGUAGUAAUUCUGUUGUGUUAGUUUAAGAAUUCACAUAAAUAUUGCUUGAAGUGAACUGUAGUAACCUGGGGAGCUACUGCAGUUUUCAGAUAGCGAGCCAUUUCACCAUUAGAAACGGAAGGUACUUUCUGUCCAGGAACAUCUACCAAACAACGAAUCUCAGUGCUGCUAAUAGGAUAAAACAAGAUUGGAGAUGGAUCUGCCAGAACAAAAUGUCCAUGAUUUGCAUAUCGAAGGUUGCAGUUUUCCAGCACCAACACAACAAAACACGAUGGGAUAUCAAUUAUGCAAAAGGAAGGAUUAAAUUAUGCAAGCUAAAUUCCUAUGUUGUGGAAAAGGUUAUAUGUUACUUCAAUAUUAGCACACAGGAUCACAAAACUUCAACGAAGGGAUUGUUUUGCAAUUUGGCAACACUGAUCGUCACAUUAGGAUUGCAAAGAGACCGCCGCAGAUUCGAAAAACAGCCAUCACAGACAAUUGUUAAUGGAGCAUAUGCUCCCAACUCUUUUGCAGCCCUGGUUUUGUACUGUACUCCUUUUAAUAGUCCCAUUUUCUUCAAUGAGAGAUGUUACUGUUCCUCGUUCCAAUUUAACCCUGAAGAAAACAUUGCAAGAAAAUCUGAUUGUAAGGAAACAUUAUUAAUUAUGCAACUACCCUGGAAAGAUCAUAUGAUUGAAAUACUACAAUGGAAUAGAACUUAAGCAAGUAUAAUGAAUGUCCAUUAAAGAUUACGUGGAAAGAGUUUUAUGCUUUGUCUCGCAUUUUCUGAAUAAAACGGCCAUUGUGAAAGCUUCUUCCAGCAACAUCUGAAAGGAAGUUCUCCAAGGGGUAUGAUAGUUUGGUACUUUUCCCAUCUUUAAAGAUUGCAUAUCCAAGCACUCUUUGAGCAUCAAUUUCACUCACACAGUCUGCAGAUACACAAAGAUAUACUUAACGUUUACUGCUAUAGUUCUGAUAGUUUUGACGCUGAAAAGCUUAGCUGGUUCUACAGAUAUAUUGAGGUUCUGGCUCACCUUCAAGGCCCAAUUCAAUUAAUUUCAGGUAACCUCCGGGUUGCAGGAGUUCUCCAACAAUUCUGUCAGGCUCAGUCAAGUCUUUUUCAAUUACAUGCACUCUUCGACCAUCCUGCAAUAUGUACAGAAACAUGAGAUUGCAAUUCUCUCCUGUAAUCUUUCCAACAGAAGCAAUUGACAUGGAAUGUCUGUCACCUCUCCAGGACUGUAAGCAAGAGCUGAGCCAGCAACACCAGCACCAACAAUGAUUAUAUCUGGACUUUCAACAUUGCAUAACUUGCCCAUUCCUCUUUCAGAGCUCUUCAAAGUUCUGUCCCUCUGAAAAUCCUUUGAAACAUUAACCUUUUUCUUUCCUUUUGCAUGAUAAACUAUAAUCAACCCCAAAACAGAACAAUGACUCCUCCCAAAAGAUACUGAUAUCCCAUAUCUGGAGAUUGCUAAGAAAACAAGGGGUGAAUGGUGCUGUUACCACUCACUACUUCUAGACUUUCCCUUCCUGUUUUAGUCAAAGAGCUCGGGACUGAUACCAUGCCUUUUAUAGGCUUAAAAAACAGCUAAGUUUUGACAUUUUCUGUAAAACAUUUAGGCAAUGAAUUGCUUUCAAAUAAAACCAUGGGAUCCAAAACAGGGGGAGAUUGACAGUUAUGUUGUUACAUUAUUGUCACAAAUUAAGUUAUUGAACCCAUUUUUGUUAUCAUCAGGCAAUGUAUACAGAGCUUAGGAUCACUUGUUCACCUGACAAGUCUAUUUGACGUUUGGAAGCUCUUCAUUUAAGAUCUAAGAUUUUUUCGUGUAAUCACAUGUUUGCUUGACCAAAGACUUGUAAUCAUAUCAACCAUGAUACCAAAAUGAAAAAUCAUUUGUUUGUAAAUUAGUCCUUUAAUUUUUUUCCAUAACAUUUUUAAUUUUUUCCUAAAAUGUUCUUUAUUUUUAGUUAAUUCUUUUUAAUAUUUAUAGUUCCUGUAAGGUCUUUACCUAUCUAUUUUGACCUAUUUUAUAUAAAUCACUUAUUUAAAGCAAAAUAAAAAGUUCAUAUUUUUAUGUGAAAAUAUCAUUUUUUAAAUAAAAAAAAGUUAUCAUGGGUUUGUUCGAGUAUUUUUUUUUAAAUUAUUGAUUAUUGAAUUUGUUAAAACUAACAAGGCUGAAGUUCUUUUUUUUUUUUGUACUUUUUAAAAAUGUUUAUCUCAAAAAAAAUAUUAAAUUAAUAUAUUAUUAUUAUUUUUUGAUAUUUUGAUAUGUAAUGUAAUAAAACAAUUUGAAAAAAAUUAUUUUAAUAUAUUUUUAAGUAAAAAAAUAAAACAAUACUUUUAGAAAACACUUUAUAAUACUAAACACGUAAUUAAUGCAUUAUAAUAUAUAAGUAUAUAUGACAGAGCGGGCCUAUGGGAAGGGCAAUUUAUGAAGUUUAAUAUGAAUUUAACAGUCAAGGGAUUAACUUACUAAUUUCAAAAUCAAAAGGACUAAAUCGCAAAAUAAUAAAAAAGGAAUUAAAUUAUAAUUUUCCCACAACAGAAAUGUUUUGUCCUUGUGAGCCUGAGACUUCAGUAGAGACCCAAAUCAGUCACUAGCUACUCAUAUUUUACCUUCUAACAAAUGGAGCAAAGUCCAAUUAUGAUCUAUCUAUGAAAUUGAAAUGAAUGCAGGAUCGCAAUUUGUGUAGAGUUUAUAACAUCCUAUUAAAAAAAUGCUUUGGCAGCCCUUUUCUUUUAAGCUUUUAGAAAAACAUUCUGCAAGGAAAAAAAAUCUAAUUUUCUGAAUGAGCUGCCCUGACACAAGCUUUUUUUUAAGGGAAAAAAAAUUGAUCAAAUAAAUACUGGGAAAUUCCUGAAAAUUGAAUCAUGCUUUUGUUUCAUUUGGGCUUCGAAUCUGUCUAGAAAAACAUUAAUGCAACUUUAUAUCGAUUAGCUAGGAAAGCUCUCCCAGUAUGUUUUGAGAACACUUGGUCUAGACAUUAGAAACAAGUGAAAGUCGCUUGCUUCCUAGCUGAAGCUUCGUUUCUUCUGUCUCACCAUUGAAAUAGUCGAGGAUAUAUGCUGAAACAUAGAUGAUCUAGGAUUAAAGAUGCAGAAAUCACAUGAAUUCAUUCUUUAUGCGACUCCUUCAACAUAAUAGCAAAAGGAGAUGGUCUCUCAAAGUGUUUUUGGGUAGAGGUUAAAACACAAACCUGAAACCAAACACCAUCUGACAUGCAGCGAAAGAGUAAUCAACAGAAUUCGGAUAUACUAGUAUGAAAGCAGAUAAUAAUUUGUGCAUGUCAGAAAGAGCUACAAUCAAAAUUCAUCCCACAAUAACUUUUGCGAGGACUGAUUAUUGAAGAAGUAUAUAGGACAUCGCAGGAUUCAAGAUGUGCUGGGUUGAAGCAUCAAGCUCGUCACAAGAAUUCUACAAUAAUAGUAUUGUCUAAAUGUUCAUCAAGAAUUUGAUGAUGAGGUAAUAUUUAUUUACCCCGAAUCUUGACCUUAAGUGUCCAUUUAACCUUUCCCUCUGGCAACGGAAUAGACUUUGGGAAGCGUAGUGGCACCUCAACUUGUUCUUAUAUACAAGCGGGAUAGAUCCAAGAAGAGAAGAAAAUCACAUUCGAAUUUGUUCUUCUUCUCAUGUCUCUGUUUCUGUGUUUAUCUUUAUUGUAAAUUUGUAUAUAUCUAGGAGUUAUAACUUGAAAAACAUAAAGAGACAUGCCCAUUUCAAUACCAAAUAUCGAGUUCCUGACUUCCUGAGGCAAGAAGUUCAACCCCUUUGAGGUAUUUCCUCUGUACUCGUGCUUGUGCCUCAUGUUCUUAAGCAUCUGUCCAGUAAUUCUAGCAAGCAAGGGUCAAAAGACGUGAUGAAAUAUGAUAGACUAAAAAUUGGAUUAAUAAAGAUAAAAAUCGAGCCUUUUGGUUGUACUUUAAAUUGACUUCAUUUAAUUAUUGUUCUCUGCAAAUAGAAAAUCAUAUGUACAGAAGCAGAUAAUGGAAUCAAUAACCUUCGGUCUACGUGUAUUUUCCUAUAAUAUCAAAAGGGAAAAAAAAUUAUUCUUUGAAUUCGUCAAGAAUAUAUGAAGUAUGUUUAUAGAAAAGGAUGCCGAUAAUGUUGAAAUAGGAGAAAGAUUCCCUUUCGAUAUAUUUAGAAUCAAGUAAAAAUAUUCCUAGUUUAAGAAGAUUUGUAUUUAGGAUUUUUAUUAAGUUAAUAUUUAAAAUCCUUGUUAGAAAAAGAUAGUUUAAAUUUAUCUUGACUCUAUAAACUUCUUUUAAAUAUAAGGGUGAUAUGUGUUAAUUAUCAAUGAAUAAAAGCUUAUUAUUAAUUAAAGUUUCUUGGAAUAAAUCAAGUCCUGGUUUCAAAACAUGACAGCUACCAAUCUCACGGUAAGAUUUUAGGAGCGUAUCCACCGCCACCGAGCUAGCUGGGGAGCGGUGUCCUCCUCAAUCGCAAGCUUAUGCAUUACCCGUCCAAGCUGGUCCAUAUGUUGCUCCACCUCCAGUUGAUUACCCUGCGACAAACGGUGCUGAAUACACCAAAAUAUCACCCCCUCCUGAAAAAAGAAGAAGCAUAAAUGGUAACUGAGCAUUUCAAAACUCUCUGUGUGUAAAUUCCAUUGCAAAUAAUAAUUCAUCAUAUAUAUAUAUAUAUAUAUAUAUAUAUAUAUAUAUAUAUAUAUAUAUUGUUGGGGAAUCCGGCUCCCCAUGCGCGGACCGGUGGUGUACUAAUAGUUGCUCAAAGGAAGCUAAGCACACUGAGACAAUAUUUAACGUGGUUCGGCAAAUCACCUACAUCUACGGGAGAGGUCCAUUUUAUUAGAGAUAGAGAAAAGAAUACAAUAAAUACAUGGAGGAGGAGGAUCACUCAACUCUACUCAACUCACUGCUCUCUUUGGUGCUCCUGCAGCUGCUGCCAUUGCAGCUCUCUUUCUCUCUAUUCUCACGUUCACUCACACUUCACACACUCUCACUUGCUCUCAAAUAAUUAUGCCUCUUUUAAAGGCAUCAAAUGGUGAGCUUCUCCAGCACAUGGAGGGGACAAUCAAGCCAUAAUACAUGGCAUGAAUUAUGCCGUAAUUCAUGCUUCCACUUGCUUGGUGGUGGGGUAUUGCCACAAAUGGAUAUAUCCUAACAAUCACCCCCUUUGUCAUUUAUGUGGGCAAUUGUCCUCUUGCUUCUUCAGCACAAGCUUGCAUUCUGCAGCUCUUCCAAGCUUCCAUUCUGAGAGCGUCUUCAACACAACAUUCCCCUUCGAGUGUAUCAACCAUGCUCGGUCCGGAAUGAUUUUUCAAGCCUUACACCAAGGCUUACAACACCCCCUCAAACGAAUAUUUCCAAGUGCGACAGUCAUUGAGUAUUUCAAUGUGAUCACAAGCUCACCACUCUUCCAAGAGUCUACUCAUCCAGGAGUUGCGCCUGCCCUCUGUUCCACCCUAGGAACCACGCCUUACUUCUCUGUGAGUCUCUCGCUCUUAGUCGUAAGAGUCCAGGUAGCUCUCCACCUUUAACCAUGGGGGCAACCCAUUAAAGGUUGAUCCAUAUCUGUCUUCAUACUCUAAGUAUUACAAUGCCAUUACCGAGCUCACCACCUUGACAAGAGUCAACUCGUUCGCGGAACCUGUGCAUGCCCUCUACUUCUUCAUAGCAGCCGCGUCUUAAUGCUCCACAAGUCACCCACUUAUUGUCCAAGGCAAAUGUCUUCUAGCUCAUUGAUCUUUAGCAUGGGGGCAAUAUCCAUAAAAGUCAAUCCUGCAUUUGUCUCCAUACUCAUUAUAGCCACUUCAUUGGCUAUACACCUGUCCACUCAUAUCUAGCCAUUACAUUGGCUCUGGGGCGUUCUGAACUGGGCUCAUAUCGUGGCCCACACACCUUCUCCUUAGGUGUCUCCGCUCGUCGUCAUACGGCGGUCUGAAAUAGGGCUCCUAUCGCGGCCCUCACACCUUCUCUAAGGCGUCUUCGCCCAUUGUCAUAGGGCGGUCUGAUAUUGGGCUCAUAUCAAGGCCCUCACACCCUCUCUAAGGUGUCUUCGCCCUUCAUAGACGGUCGCAUCCUCCUUCAGCUGGGAUGCAUCAAAGUGGCUUUAAGAUUCUCUACCACCAUGUCGACUUGGGAGAGAUUAUUGCCACUGAUCACAUAGAACGAGAGAGUUGCGGUACACUCCUCGCAAUCCUCCACCUCGAUUUCUAUGUUUGGAGUUUGUACGCCUUUCUGCUUGACAACUCCACCUACACCAACUGUCUUUGGUGUCUUCACCUUUCAUCAUAGGCGGUCGCCUUUCAUCACAGGCAUUUGCACCCCCUCAAUUAGGUGCCUCUACAACGGCUCUCUUUCCAUCCUUGCAUGCAUUGGAAAGGUCUUCGCCUGUUGUCUUCAUUAAGAGCACAAGAGACUUCCUGUUGUACAACCUUCACACAUAGUCUCUACUCUGAGCUUCAUCUGGGAACACUUCUUCUCUUUGCACCUGUUGUCUCAUUACAGUACCUCGUUGGAUCCUACGGGUACUCCUGCACAAUCUCCAUAUGCCCUCGUGCAAUUUUUGUUCUCCAGAUUUCUCCCUAUUCCUUGCUUAUGUUUGACAGCAGCUCAUCCUGUCAUAACACCUGUCCAAGUCAAAAUAGGGUGUCAAUCUUUAUCCCCUUGUUGUAUUUCUCUUCCAUUAUCAGGGUCUUCAUCAAUUCUCCCCUUGAGAAAUCACAGUCACUGAAUCUAACUUCUUUGGAGAAAUCACCACACCAUCAGAUCCUUGAACAUACGGAACCCAACUGUUCCCUUGUGCCGUCGUCUUGCUAGUCUUCAACCGUUUCAUUACAAACUGCUAUAUAUACGAAAAUAGUACCGUAUGGAUAAUCCUUCCACUAAGCAAGUUCCCAAGAAAGAUUGGAGGGGUCACACUGGUCCCGCUUAAAACCCAAUCUCCUAGACAUAACUUCUUAGGCCAUAUCUAUCCAUCGUACUGUCUUUCCAUAUAUACAACCAUUUGCUAGCUUUGUCCCGGCUUUCCUUUACAAGUGAUCUGGAAUAUACUGGUUUAAUACAUGAUUUCUCAACAUCUGGCGAGACUACCAGUUCUUAGAUUCGUCAAGAUUGGUCUUCGUCAAUUUCCACUCUUCACCUCAAAUUAUCCACAUGAUCGGGUGUCCAGAGUGUCCCAAUUUUGCCUUCCUUCUAGGCAAUUAAAAUUUCUCCACUUAGCAGUUCAACAUAUGUAAUUGGGCAAACAUGUGUGACAUGUUUUUCUUAAUCUCCAUCGACCACCAUGAUGACCUUCAGAUGCCUCUUCAUCGGGCAAUCUCUUUUGUUAAUUCACCAUCGCCAUUUUUGGUCUCAAAUCUCAACGAUCGGACCGUACCAUUGCAUCCGGAACGAUUUGAUCAAAUCGCAUUUCAGACGUCUAAGAUUUGAUCAAAACAAUUCUAGCCUGAUGAACGGCACAGAUUCAAUCUCAGAUCCGGUUGCUCGUAGACUCCGCUGCACAGAAUCUUAUCCCUCAGCUCGCAGCUCGGCUCAGCUCAACUUGGCUCGGCUUAACUCGGCUCAGCUCGGCUCGCGGCUGGUGACAUGGCAGGUGGGUCCCAUUAUGCUGACGUGUCAGCUGACAUGGCAUGCCCACUAUGCAUGCUGGCGUCAUGCUUACGACAUGAUGACGUCAUUAUCAUCCGGGUCUGGCACGUGGGUCGGGUCAUCUGGUAUUCGGGUCGGGUCAGCCCAUCUGGGCGAAGAAGACACGUGUGACGCGUGGCACACGUCUGUGCGCGUGGGCAGUCACCUCGCCAGCGCGUGCGGAUGUUUCCGGCGUCAGAUUUCGACGCGGUUUUCAACAGUGGCUUCGUCUCUUCCUCCUUUACACGGUGGUAUGGUCAAAACACAAUUUUGACAACUUUCAUUUUUGAGCAAAAUCAAACACCCCUUUAAACCAUGUGCUCUGAUACCAAUUGUUGGGGAAUCCGGCUCCCCAUACGCGGACCGGUGGUGUACUGAUAGUUGCUCAAAGGAAGCUAAGCACACUGAGAUAAUAUUUAACGUGGUUCGGCAAAUCGCCUACAUCCACGGGAGAGAUCCAUUUUAUUAGAGAUAGAGAAAAGGAUACAAUAAAUACAUGGAGGAGGAGGAUCACUCAACUCUACUCAACUCACUGCUCUCUUUGGUGCUCCUGCAGCUGCUGCCAUUGCAGCUCUCUUUCUCUCUAUUCUCACGUUCACUCACACUUCACACACUCUCACUUGCUCUCAAAUAAUUAUGCCUCUUUUAUAGGCAUCAAAUGGUAAGCUUCUCCAACACAUGGAGGGGACAAUCAAGCCAUAAUACAUGGCAUGAAUUAUGUCGUAAUUCAUGCUUCCACUUGUUUGGUGGUGGGGUAUUGAUACAAAUGGCAAUAUCCCAACAUAUAUAAAUACACACACCUGAGGGGACAAAUUUUCUUAUCUUUUUGACACAGUUGUCCGUGUUGUUUCGAAUGUUUAUGCGACUUUAAUUCUUUAUAGCUCACAUCUCUCGGAAUCCACCUUGUGGGAAAUUGUCUUAAUUUGUUUGUUUUUCACACAUGUUUUCUGUAACUAAUUUCCUUGUACACAUAUUUUGAUGUAAAUCUGUUUUAUUAUUUCAACAAAAUGGGCAAUCAAUCAUGGAAUCGCUCUUUCAAAGUUAGAGUUUGGCAUCGGUUUUACCCUCCGACUUUUAGAAAUUCUUAAUUGAGGACUUUUAUCCAGUUUUAAGGUUUUCCAUUCCACAUUAAUUUCCAUCCAAAUUGUACUUUUUUUAUAACAAUUAUUAGGGGUGAAAAAAAUAUCGAUAAGCCAAUAAAACUAAGAAAAAAAUUAAUUAAAAAACUAAAUCAAGAAAAAAAAUUAAAAACACUAAUUAAAAAAUUAAAAGAAAAAUUAGUUUGGCUUCGAUUUAAAACUUAUGAAACCAAUUGAAUUGAAUCAUACCGGUCAUUAAGAAUGAAUAUAAAAAUGUUGUUUAAAAUAUAGUUUCAUGAUAAUGAAUAUAUAAGAUGUCUAAUUUUUUAAAAACCUUGUUAUUAAAUGUUGAUAAUGAAUAUAUCAAUUAGUUUAUUCUCUAAUUUAUUGUAUCUAUGAUAUAUAUUAUAUGUUAUUGUCUCACCAAGUUAAUUGAACUCAUCCCUUCUUAUUAAUAUUAUUUUCAAGUUCUUAACUUCUAUUAAUAGGUUGAUUUUAUUAAGAGUUCUUGCUAUUUUUUUUUGGUGGUAUGUCUCGGUUUCUUUUGUGAGACUUUUUUUUAUUUUUUUUUAUUUAAUGUCUUAGACACUAUUAUUAUAUUGUUUCAUUUAAAGUUUAGAUUUUUAUAUUGUAAUAAGUAUUAUGAAGUAUUAUUUGAUUUAAUUGGUUUUGAAGAAUAUUUUGAAAAUUUACAAAAUGUUACAAGUUCUAUUUAAUUUAUUUUAUAAUAAAUAUAUUUGAAACUUAACGUAAAUAAGAUGUCCUCAUAGAAGUGCUUCUAUCUUGCCGGUCAUUAAGAGGGUGUUUGUCUACGCGUACGCGACUGCGGCUGAAAUAAAACACAGCAAAUAUAUGUUUGGUUACAGAAAAAAACAUCGUCAACUGUUCAUGGUCCCACCUUUUACUGCGUUGCAAACUCAGCAAUCACGAAGCAGUAGGAGGCUGCUUUUGUUUCAACAGUAAACAAUGGGCAACAUAUUUACGCACUGUGCAUGCUAAUUAAUUAGCAUGCACAGUGUAAGUUGCAUACACUAUACAUGACCAAUAGUUCUGGUCGGACCGGUUCCGGCCAAACCGGUUCCAGUUCAAAACUUAAAAUACAUUGAACCAGGUCCAACCCAGUAAAAUAAAAAUUAUUUUUAAUUGUUUUUUAUUUGAAAAACUAGUGUUUAACAUUAUUUAAUGACACUAUAUAAAUUAGACAGAGAUCGCUUGAUAAAGUAGCAUUUGCAGAAUUUGAUCACAAUUCCAAUUUUGUUCUUGAUUAUAUUUUACCUGAUGUUAUUGCGCGCUUAAAAAAUCAAAAAAAUUAUAGUCCUUGUCGGAUAUAUUUCAUACAUAAUGGAAUUGUAGAUAUUUUAAUGGAACAAUAAAAAAUAUUUUAUAUAAAGUAUUAUUUAUUUCAUGAUGUAAUAACAAAAGUUAAAUCUAUAAUAUUUAAAUUAAAAACUAUCAAUAUUAAUAUAUAUUUUUUAAAUUUAUUUUAUAACCUCAAUUUCAAAAGCAUUAUUAAUCAAACAUAUUAAACUAUUUUUUUUCAACUUCAAUUUCAACCACAGUUUUAACCAAACACAUAUUUUUUCAAACCAACCUCAAUUAAAAGUACUUUUUAUAAAACAAUUUUUUUCAAAACACAACAACAACAGCUACCACAAUACCAAACACACCCUAACUCGGAAUCUGGCUGGUGACAUUGAAUAUCUUUAGCACUGUCAAUGUGAAACAUUUUCCUAGCUAGCUAGGUGCUUAAGUUUCUUGUGAGUUAUUGAUUUCGAAAAAGGAGUCAGUACCACAAUACCAGCUAUCAAUCUCAAGGUAUGCAAAAUUAUUUAACUAUAAUCCUAUAAUGAGAUAAGUUGUCAAUAAUAUUACUAGUCUUUUGUUUAUAUAUGGUUAAUCAAGUUGAUAAAUUGAUGGGUUGCUAACUUGCUAUUGAUUUUUCAGGAGCAUAUCCGCCACCAAGCCAGCAGGUGCCUCCUCCUCCUCCUCCUCCUGGUGCGCCCCAAAUAUCUUACCCACCACCAGUUCAAGGGUACCAUCAAGGUCAAUAUGUUACCCACCUGCACCCACUUGAAAAAUAAUAAUAAUAAUAAGAUGCCCUUGUAGCACUGCUAUUAUUAUUAUUAUUAUUAUUAUUAUUAUUAUUAUUAUUAUAUUCUGUUUGGUCGUUUUGUACAUUUUGGUGGGCCAGGCCCAGGACCCCCACAUACUUGGACUGAUAGUUUGGUAAUGAGUCCAAUACCCAAUGGAAAAAUAGGAAAAACAAAAGGAAAAGAAUGAAAGUAAAGCACAAAAACAAAGGAUAAUCCAAGUGCACAAAUCUGUGUGGGACUCAUGCUCAAAAGCUGAAUCCUUUGAUUCGUGUAUCUGGGGUACUUAUCAAUAAAUCUACGUGGAACACACAUUUCUUUUAUUAAAUUAUGAGAUUAAUUAAUUAAUUAAUGAAACGGUGUAAGAAAGGUCUCUCUGUUCUAGUGUCAAGAUUCAACUUUUUAAACCAUUUAGUAGGCGGCGGAUAUUAAUUUGAGAUUAAAGAGUUAUCUGAUAAUUGAAUAAUAUAGUUGUUAAUAUAAUGAUUAUUGGAGGUUUAAAUGGUUAUUAAUUUUAGGGUCUGUGAAAUAAGUUGAGUUGUGCGCAAACUAAUCCGGAUACCCAUAUUAACCAAAAAAAUAUAUAAACUAUGUGAAAAGAAAUAUAGAUUUACCAUUAAUAUCACAAAUACACGCAUCAUUUAUUAAUAAUAUUAAGAUACAGUUAAUAAGUUGAUCAGGUUUCUGUUUAUAAAGAAUGAAUUAUAUUUCCAUUUAAUUAGAAAAAUAGCAAUAUAUAGUUCAAAUUAAUUUGAUGGCGUGUCUUAAUAUAAUAAAUAUGGGUUACGUACAGCAGAGAGCCACCCUUUUCUAUGCAAUUCAAGGCUUUCGAGCUAUUUUUGUUGUCUCGUUUUGAUUAGAAGAUCAAUUAUUAUUUUCAUUAUCUUGACCAUCUAAAAGCAGACUAAAGUUUCAUUUCUGGAACCUUCUGUCCAUUUUCUAUGCAAUUCAAGUUAGCAAACGAAGGCAGAGUCCACAUUGCUUUUUUGAACAAAUGGAUUGAAUUAUUAUUGAAAGAAAUCCCAAUCGUCACAACAUGAUAGGUCGUCUAGCUAGUUUUUCCAUGCAUGUAAGAAGUCGCCAUUGACGAAGACCUUAAAGAACAACUAGCCAACUCUAUAAAGCAUAUCAUUUCAUUCAUUUGGUUUUUCCAUAUACCAAAUACAAGUUUUUCAUAGGUGAUCAUAUCUUGAUUUCAACAAUGAGUGGCGACAGCAACAAGUAUCAAGAUUCAGAAGGUAAUUGAAUUUAUGUUCGGCUUCUGAAAAUCUUUUUUUUUUUCCUUUUUUUCUGUGAUUUAGGAAGUUAAUCAAUUGAUGGGUUACUAAAUUGAUGAUUUUUCAGGAGUAUAUCCCCCACCACCUACUUCACAUCCACCAAAGCAGGAGGUGCGGGUGCGUCCUCCUCCUCCUCCUCCGCCGUCUUGUCCAGCACCAGUGCAAGGGUACUAUGAAGCCGGUCCUUAUGUGGCACCACCUCCAGUUAGUGACCCUAUGAAAUAUGGUCCUCAACACCUCCAACAGCCACCUCCUCCAGAAAGAACUAGUCAGAGGGAUGAUGACUUUGGCACAGGAUGGUAACUGAGCAUUUUUUUUCCCUUUUUAUUUAAAUAAUGAUUCACUGUGUACUUAUUUAUUUAUCCUUUUCCUAUGUGACACAGUUGCUGCUGCUGAAUCUAGAACGCGUGCUUUGAAGGACUAUGAAUGGUUCUCUGUAAAAUUUGCAGCUUAUAAUUGUUUUUCCCUUGUGUUUCUUGUUGGAAAUAAUAAUCAUUUUCGCUCUUUUUAUGUCACUGUACGUACUACGUUUAACAUUUAAUCACGUUGCUCUUUAAUUAUUAAUAUUUUUCUCCGUGCUACAAUUUUUGAUGGCCAGGCUAAAUGUUUGAGGGUAUCAGAUUGUUUGGUAAUUAGUAUUUUUUGAAGGUUUUUUUUGUAAUAUUUUUAAAAAAUAUAUUUAAUAAAGAUAUGUUGCAUUGCAAUAUUAAACACAACUCGAUUUUUUAAAAGCUUAAAACAAUAUCAUUUCAAUUCUUUUUGUUUUAAAUCAAAGAUUUAAGUUGAUCCAACUAAACCUUCAACCCAUGAGCCUCGAAAUAGAUAUAACCUGGGUGGUAUCUUAUAACUAUGCUAUUAAUGACUUUAAUUGUCACGUCUCGGUGUUCGGCUUGUAAAGGAAACAUAUGAACUUUCAAAGUGUAUAAAUAAUGUUGGUAUCAUAUAGAUUAAGUUGAUAAAUUAGGCAUUUAGUACAAAUUCACGAGUUAAUCUCACUUAAACUUUCAACCCAUGACACGAGACUCACUCGAAACUAGAUACAACCUGGGUGGUAUCUUAUAACUAUGCUAUUAAUGACUUUAAUUGCCACAUCUCUGUGUUCGGCUUGUAAAGGAAACAUAUGAACUUUCAAAGUGUAUAAAUAAUGUUGGUAUCAUAUAGAUUAAGUUGAUAAAUUAGGCAUUUAGUACAAAUUCACGAGGGAUAUCUUGUUCCCAAGUUGAAGAACAAAUAAAAGAAUUACAGUUGUAUGACUUCUACAAGAAUGGAGACCUGAGCUAUUCUCACAAACGUGAAUUGCUCAUGCAAACUAGUUUCAGUUCUUGAUGGAAAAUCGCUCUAUCCAUUCUGUCAGGCAAUCGGAGGAGCUCUGUGGUAUGGUGGUACCCUUCCAGGGAAGAACAUUUGUCUAAGAAAACAAGGGGUGAAUGGUGCUGUUACCACUCACUACUUCUAGACUUUCCCUUUCUGUUUUAGUCAAAGAGCUCGGGACUGAUACCAUGCCUUUUAUAGGCUUAAAAAACAGCAAAGUUUUGACAUUUUCUGUAAAACAUUUAGGCAAUGAAUUGCUUUCAAAUAAAACCAUGGGAUCCAAAACAGGGGGAGAUUGACAGUUUUGUUGUUACAUUAUUGUCACAAAGUAAGUUAUUGAACCCAUUUUUGUUAUCAUCAGGCAAUGUAUACAGAGCUUAGGAUCAGUUGUUCACUUGACAAGUCUAUUUGACGUUUGGAAGCUCUUCAUUUAAGAUCUAAGAUUUUUUCGUGUAAUCACAUGUUUGCUUGACCUAAGACUUGUAAUCAUAUCAACCAUGAUACCAAAAUGAAAAAUCAUUUGUUUGUAAAUUAGUCCUUUAAUUUGUUUUCCAUAACAUUUUUAAUUUUUUCCUACAAUGUUCUUUAUUUUUAGUUAAUUCUUUUUAAUAUUUAUAGGUCCUGUAAGGUCUUUACCUAUAUAUUUUGACCUAUUUUAUAUAAAUCACUUAUUACAAGCAAAAUAAAAAGUUUGAUAUUUUUAUGUGAAAAUAUCAUUUCUUCCAAAAAAAAAAAAAGAGUUCAUCUAAGUAUAGUAAAGAUAUGGGUUUGCUUGAGUAUUGUUUUUUAAAAAAUUAUUGAUUGUUGAAUUUGUUGAAAGGAUAAACUUCUUCUUUUUUUACUUUCUAAAAAUAUGUUUAUCUUGAAAAAAUUAUUAUUAAAUUAAUAUUUUUUUUCAAUAAUUUUGAUGUGUUAAUAUUAUAAAAAGAUUCUGAAAAAAAAUUAUUUUAAUAUAUUUUCAAGUAAAAAAUAAAACAACACUUUUAAAAAACACUUUAUAAUACUAAGCACAUAAUUAAUGCAUUAUAAUAUAUAAGUAUAUAUGACAGAACGGGCAUAUGGGAAGGGAAAUUUAUGAAGUUUAAUAUGAAUUUAACAGUCAGGGGAUUAACUUAUUAUUUUCAAAAUCAAAAGGACUAAAUCGCAAAAUAAUAAAAAAGGAAUUAAAUUAUAAUUUUCCCACAACAGAAAUGUUUUGUCCUUGUGAGCCUGAGACUUCAGUAGAGACCCAAAUCAGUCACUAGCUACUCAUAUUUUACCUUCUAACAAAUGGAGCAAAGUCCAAUUAUGAUCUAUCUAUGAAAUUGAAAUGAAUGCAGGAUCGCAAUUUGUGUAGAGUUUAUAACAUCCUAUUAAAAAAAUGCUUUGGCAGCCCUUUUCUUUUAAGCUUUUAGAAAAACAUUCUGCAAGGAAAAAAAAUCUAAUUUUCUGAAUGAGCUGCCCUGACACAAGCUUUUUUUUAAGGGAAAAAAAAUUGAUCAAAUAAAUACUGGGAAAUUCGUGAAAAUUGAAUCAUGCUUUUGUUUCAUUUGGGCAUCGAAUCUGUCUAGAAAAACAUUAAUGCAACUUUAUAUCGAUUAGCUAGGAAAGCUCUCCCAGUAUGUUUUGAGAACACUUGGUCUAGACAUUAGAAACAAGUGAAAGUCGCUUGCUUCCUAGCUGAAGCUUCGUUUCUUCUGUCUCACCAUUGAAAUAGUCGAGGAUAUAUGCUGAAACAUAGAUGAUCUAGGAUUAAAGAUGCAGAAAGCACAUGAAUUCAUUCUUUAUGCGACUCCUUCAACAUAAUAGCAAAAGGAGAUGGUCUCUCAAAGUGUUUUUGGGUAGAGGUUAAAACACAAACCUGAAACCAAACACCAUCUGACAUGCAGCGAAAGAGUAAUCAACAGAAUUCGGAUAUACUAGUAUGAAAGCAGAUAAAAGGGCCCCAAGCUAUAAUUUGUGCAUGUCAGAAAGAGCUACAAUCAAAAUUCAUCCCACAAUAACUUUUGUAAGGACUGAUUAUUGAAGAAGUAUAUAGGACAUCGCAGGAUUCAAGAUGUGCUGGGUUGAAGCAUCAAGCUCGUCACAAGAAUUCUACAAUAAUAGUAUUGUCUAAAUGUUCAUCAAGAAUUUGAUGAUGAGGUAAUAUUUAUUUACCCCGAAUCUUGACCUUAAGUGUCCAUUUAACCUUUCCCUCUGGCAACGGAAUAGACUUUGGGAAGCGUAGUGGCACCUCAACUUGUACUUAUAUACAAGCGGGAUAGAUCCAAGAAGAGAAGAAAAUCACAUUCGAAUUUGUUCUUCUUCUCAUGUCUCUGUUUCUGUGUUUAUCUUUAUUGUAUAUUUGUAUAUAUCUAGGAGUUAUAACUUGAAAAACAUAAAGAGACAUGCCCAUUUCAAUACCAAAUAUCGAGUUCCUGACUUCCUGAGGCAAGAAGUUCAACCCCUUUGAGGUAUUUCCUCUGUACUCGUGUUUGUGCCUCAUGUUCUUAAGCAUCUGUCCAGUGAUGCUAGCAAGCAAGGGUCAAAAGACGUGAGCCAUUUGUUCUUAAUUAUUGUUCUCUGCAAAUAGGAAAUCAUAUGUACAGAAGCAGAUAAUGGAAUCAAUAACCUUCGGUCUACGUGUAUUUUCCUAUAAUAUCGAAAGGGGAAAAAAUUAUUCUUUGAAUUCGUCAAGAAUAUAUGAAGUAUGUUUAUAGAAAAGGAUGCCGAUAAUGUUGAAAUAGGAGAAAGAUUCCUUUUUGGUAUAUUUAUAAUCAAGUAAAAAUAUUCCUAGUUUAAAAAGAUUUGUAUUUAGGAUUUUAAAAAAUAAUCAAGUAAAAAUAAUUAUAAUCACAUUUCCAAAAAAAACUCUAUAUCCAAGUGAUUGACACUGAUUCUUCCAAGCUCAUCAAAUUUUUCGAAAUUAUUGUGGGAAAUCGUUUUAAUUUGUUUGGUAUUCACUUAUGAAACAAUUAACUUUUUUAUAUGUGUGCUGUGAAUUUUAAUUAUUUUAGAAAAUACAUAAUAAUAAUGAUAUUUUUCUUUCAAAGUCCGUACUUUAUUUAUAUAUGAAAGAUCAGAACAAACUAAAAGUAAAAUUGUGAUAAAAAUUAGUUUGGAUUUAAAAUUAGGAUUUUUUUUUUUAUGUUCGCCCAUAUGUAUGCGUGUAUGUAUAUAUGUAUGUAUUAAUUAUUAUUAUUAUUAUUAUUAUUAUAUUCUGUUUGGUCGUUUUGUACAUUUUGGUGGGCCAGGCCCAGGACCCCACAAGCACAAAAACAAAGGAGAAUCCAUGUGCACAAAUCUCUGUGGGACUCAUGCUCAAAAACUGAAUCCGUUGAUUCAUGUAUCUGGGGGUACUUAUCAAUAAAUCUAUGUGGAACACAAAUUUCUUUAAUUAAAUCAUGAGAUUAAUUAAUUAAUUAAUGAAACGGUGUCAAAAAAGUCUCUCUAUUUUAAUGUCAAAAAUCAACUCUUUGAAAAGAAAUAUAGAUUUACCAUUAAUAUCACAAAUACACACAUAAUUCAUUAAUAAUAUUAAAAUACAGUUAAUAAGUUGAUCAGGUUUCUGUUUAUAAAGAAUGAAUUAUAUUUUCAUUUAAUUAGAAAAACAGCAAUAUAUAGUUCAAAUUAAUUUGAUGGCGUGUCUUAAUAUAAUAGAUAUGGGUUAGAGGAGAGAGCCACCCUUUUCUAUGCAAUUCAAGGCUUUCGAGCUAUUUUUGUUGUCUCGUUUUGAUUAGAAGAUCAAUUAUUAUUUUCAAUAUCAUUUCGGAGGAACCUUCUGUCCAUUUUCGGAGCAAUUCAAGUUAGAAAACGAAGGCAGAGUCCACAUUGCUUCUUUGAACAAAUGGAUUGAAUUGUUAUUGAAAGAAAUCCCAAUUGUCACAACAUGAUAGGUCGUCUAGCUAGUUUUUCCAUGCAUUUAGCAAGUCGCCAUUGAUGAAGACCUUAAAGAACAUCCAGCCAACUCUAUAAAACAUAUCAUUUCAUUCCUUUGGUUUUUACAUAUACCAAAUAAAAGUUUUUCAUAGGUGAUCAUAUCUUGAUUUCAACAAUGAGUUACGGCAACAACAAUUAUCAAGCUUCUGCAGGUAAUUUAAUUUAUGUUCGGCUUCUAAAAAUCUUUUUUUUCCCCUUUUUUUUCUGUGAUUUAGGAAGUUAAUCAAUUGAUGGGUUACUAAAUUGAUGAUUUUUCAGGAGUAUAUCCUCCUCCUCCUCCUCCUCCUUCUUGGCCACCACCAGUGCAAGGGUACUAUGAAGCCGGUCCUCAUGUGGAACCACCUCGAGUUAGUGACCCUAUGAAAUAUGGUCCUCAACACCUCCAACAGCCACCUCCUCCUCCUCCUCCUCCAAACCAACCUAAUAAGAGGGAUGAUGAAUUUUGCACAGGAUGGUAACUGAGCAUUUUUUUUUCCCCUUUUUAUUUAAAUAAUGAUUCACUGUGCACUUAUUUAUUUAUCCCUUUCCUAUGUGACACAGUUGCUGCUGCCUCUAGGACGUGUGCUUUGAAGGACUAUGAAUGAUUCGCUGUAAAAUUUGCAGCUUAUAAUUGUUUUUCCCUUGUGUUUCUUGUUGGAAAUAAUAAUUAUUUUCGCUCUUUUUAUGUCACUGUGCGUACUACGUUUAACAUUUAAUCACGUUGCUCUUUAAUUAAUAUUUUUCUCCGUGCUACAACUUUUGAUGGCCAGGCUAAAUGUUUGAGGGUAUCAGAUUGUUUGGUAAUUAGUAUUUUUUGAAGGUUUUUUUUUUAAAUAUUUUCAAAAAAUAUAUUUUAUAAAAACAUGUUGCAAUAUUGCAAUAUUAAACACAACUCGAUUUUUUUAAAAGCUUAAAACAAUAUUAUUUCAAUUCCUUUUGUUUUAAAUCAAAGAUUAAGUUGAUCUAACUAAACCUUCAACCCAUGAGCCUCGAAAUAGAUAUAACCUGGGUGGUAUCUUAUAACUAUGCUAUUAAUGACUUUAAUUGCCACAUCUUGGUUUCAAAACAUGACAACUACCAAUCUCACGGUAAGAUUUUAGGAGCGUAUCCACCGCCACCGAACCAGCUGGGGAGCGGUGUCCUCCUCCUUCGCAAGCUUAUGCACUACCCGUCCAAGCUGGUCCAUAUGUUGCUCCACCUCCAGUUGAUUACCCUGCGACAAAUGGUGCUGAACACACCAAAAUAUCACCCCCUCUUGAAAAAGAAGAAGCAUAAAAGGUAACUAAGCAUUUCAAAACUCCCUGUGUAAAUUCCAUUGCAAAUAAUAAUUCAUCGUUAUAUAUAUAUAUAUAUACACAAACACACACACCCUGAGGGGACAAAUUUUCUUGUCUUUUGACACAGUUGUCUGUUGUUUCGAAUGUUUCUGCGACUUUAAUUCUUCAUAGCUCACAUCUCUCGGAAUCCACCUUGCGAGAAAUUGUCUUAAUUUGUUUGUUUUUCACACAUGUUUUCUGUAACUAAUUUCCUUGUACACAUAUUUUGAUGUAAAUCUGUUUUAUUAUUUCAACUCAACGGGGCAAUAAUUCUUGGAAUCGCUCUUUCGAAGUUAGAGUUUGGUAUCGGUUUUACCCUCCAACUUUUAGAAAUUCUUAAUUUGGAUAGAUUUUGCUUCUAACAAACCCUUUUUUUUUUUUUUUUUUAAAGAAGCUGAUAGGAUUAAAUAGAACAUAAGUGUGUUAUGCCAUCAUAUUACAAAGAAGAGAAAAUUCGCUGAACUAACUAGCGAAAUAUAGAAACAUAAUCUUCAGAUCAACUAAGCAUCUUUGAAGAUCCUUCCCUUGAGAAACAUAUCAUGCCAAUCAAUACCGCUUUUUUCCACCAUCUAUUCCCUGCAUAGGAACCAAAACAUUGCCCCAGAAUACCACAAGCUGCAAAGGAUAAAUAGAGUACCAACAGAUUAUCUAGGUGAGUCAUAGCCAAGCAAUAAAAUCAGAUAUUCUAUGCACUCCUUGUUUAGCGAGGUGAUCUGCCAUGUGAUUACUUUCACAGUAAGAGUGAGUGUAGGUGAUUGAAUCAAAACAUGAAGCUAGCCUCUUAGCUAAAGAGAAGAGUUUAUGAUGAAGCCAAGGCCUAUUAUGAGGAUUAUUCAUCUAGCUAAUGACAUUGGCAGAAUCAGAUUCAAUAAUAAUAUGUUUAUGAUGUAGGAAGUAAUUAGAGGCUGAUAAUUCGAUAGCUUUAACAACCGCUCUCAGCUCAGCUACAUUGGAGUCUAAGAUCUCAACUGACGAAGAAAAAAUUACCUAGAAGUAUUCCAUGGUGAUUCCGCAAAACACCAUCUAUUUCAGAGGGGCCAGGCUUUCUGAUAGAGGUUCCGUCAACAUUCCAUUUGAAUCUAUUAAUCAUAGGGGAGACAACAUUCCAUUUGAAUCUUCCAACAAACUCUUGUAAUUCCAUUUAUAUAUACUGUUUUGAAAAGUUCAUAUCUUAUUCUACCCUUUCUUUUCUUUUUAGUUUUGUGAUAAUAUUUAUAUAUGUUGUUGAAUAUAUGCAAUCAUAUAAUUUAUUUUGUUUUUUCCUCUUAUUCUAUAAAAAUCAACUGGAUUUGGCCAUGUAAACCCCCUAAAACCCACUAAAAAACUGACAAGUUUUACCAAUUAUCCUCUUUAAAAACCCAAUUUAAAUCAAACCAAAACUAAUCAUUUUAAACUUGUUUAUAGUUAGGUUUAGUUCUAAAUAUGAAAAAAAUAAAAGUUUCACUUUGAUUAGUUUUUUUUUAUCAAAAACCAAACCGAAAAUGCUUAACUCUCUAACUAUUAUGUUUCCAUCAAAUGAUUCUAACAAAAAAAUAUAAUUAACAUAUCAAAAUAGUUUAGAGAUCAAAUUAAUAUAUAAAAUAGUUUAGGUGUGAAAUUGAUACUCUCCUAAUUGUUUGAGGGUGUAUUUUGUUAUUUUUCUUAUGUAUAAUUAUAAUUAUAAAAUAUAGGUUUUUGUAAUUUUACAAUCCUACUUUACUUUCUCUAUUUUUUUUACAAUUAAUUUUAAUUUUGAUUUAAAAAUUUAUUUUCUUAACAUAUGAUAAAAAAAGAAGUUAUAUUAAUAUCAACAGCUGUUUCACAUUUCCGUGGGCUGAGCCCAAGAUCUGACAUCGUUGAACUGAGAUAAUCCAUUGCUAUUGAGAUGACUAGUUUGGUAUUAAUCCCAGUGCACAUUGGGAAAAUAUGAAACAUAAAAAUAAAAAAAAAUAAAAAAAGGCAAGAGCAAAGCAUGAUCCACAUGCACAAAUUUCUUGUUCAAAAACAUAAUUCUUUAAUUCCAGUAUUAUAUCUGCGUGGAACACAGAUUUCUUUAAUUAAACGAUGAGAUUAAAUAAAACGGUGUUAAAGUGUUUUCUCCAUUUUAAUAUCACUCUCUCUUGAAAUGUCAUCAUAUUCAAAAAAUUUAACAAUUAAAAAUUCAACUCUUAAAAAAAAAAUUACACCAUUACUAUUAAAAUACAAACAUAGUUUUUUCAAUAGUAUUAAACUAUAAUUAAUAAGUUAAUCUUAUUUUUGUUUUACAAAUUAAAAAGUGAAGUAUAGUUUCAUUUAUAAUAACCUUAUAUCAAGGCUUGGCAUACCAUAUUCUAGAUUAAAUAUACUUCUAAAAAAACUUUGAGCGGUGUUAUUUAAUUGGUUAAAUUUUAAGUUUGCUUUUCAAAAUUGAUUAGCUCGAGUUCCACAAAUUUUAAAAUUAUUGAAGAUUUAUAUGAUUGUUAAUUUCAGAGUUAGUGGAAUUAGUUAAAAUACAUGUAAGCUGAUCUAAACAAUCGUGUUAAUGUUAAUUUAAAAUAUAUAUUUCUAAAAGAGAGAAUCUUUAACUCGUUCUUCCUUCUUAAUUCUUCAUUCUUCGAAGAAUUAUAGGUUUAAAUAUAAUAUGAAUUGAAAGAAAAGGCACAUAUUUGACCAUAAUUUUGGAGGGGUCUUCUGUCUAUUUCCCAAAUUUGUGGGAAUUUUAAUACGAAAGCAGAAUCCAUGUUGCUUCCUUGAACAAAUGGAUGAAACUAUUCAAAGAAAUGGCAAUUGUCACAACAUGAUAAGCCCUAAAGUUUUUCCAUGCAUCUAAGAAGCAGCCAUUUCAUUGUAAAAGUCAAGCAGAUGUAUCCUCUUCCUCCAUCUUAAUCUUAUGCACCACCCGUCCAAGAUUCGAUUAAUAUAUUUUAUUUUUAUAUGAAUUUUUAAAAAAAAUUAAAAAAAAAUAAUAAUCUAAUUUUUUUAUUUAAUUAAACGUUAAGCUUAGACACGUAUAAAUUUAACGAGCCGCUAAAUUUAGUAUUUAUAUGCUAUGUCAAGCACUAAAUUCAAACAUAUAUAAAUUUGAUCAAAUCUAAUAUCUUUAAAUUUACUCAAGCAAAUAUAAUUUCAAGGAUUUUAUGCUUCAUGAUUGAAUCAUAGAAAUCUAGUACGUCGGAGAUAUUUUUCAUACGCUGAGUUAGAGAUAUUCAUCCUUGGCAUAUAAAAGGUUUUAAUGCUAUAAAAAAAGGAGAAAAGAAAAGAAAGAGAAGUACACAAAUCUUGUGGGAUUAUCAAUAAAUCUAUGUGGAACACAAAUUUCUUUAAUUAAAUUAUGAGAUUAAUUAACUAAUGAAACGGUGUCAAAAAGGUCUCUCUAUUUUAGUGUCAAAAUUCAACUCUUUAAAAAGAAAUAUACAUUAGCCAUUAAUAUCACAAAUACACACAUGAUUUAUCAAUAAUAUUAAAAUCUAAUUAAUAAGUUAAUCAGGUUUCUUUAUAAAGAAUGAAUUAUAUUUCCAUUUAAUUAGAAAAAUAGCAAUAUAUAGUUCAAAUUAAUUUGAUUGCAUGGCUUAAUAAAAAAUAUGGAUUACACGAGAGAGCCAUCCUUUUCUAUGCAAUUCAAGGCUUUCGAAAUAAAACCAUAUAGCAAGAAAAGCCAUUGAAGCUACCAGUUUAACAAUAUGUUUAUUUUUACGUUUUAAAAAUAUUUAUUUUUAAAUUAAAAUAAAUUAUUUUUUAUUUAUUUUAAAUUAAUAUAUUUUAGUGUUUUUAGAUCAUUUUGAUGUGCUAUUGUCAAAAAUCAUUUUAAAAAAUAAAAAAAUAUAUUAUUUUGAUGUAUUUCGAAAUAAAAAAAUACUUUAAAAAACAACUGUCAUCAUACUCCCAAACACUCCCAUAGGCUUCUAGAAGAGAAAAUCUUUAACUCCUUCGCCUUGAUUCUUAUAAGAACUAUAGGUUUAAUUACAAUAUCAAUUGAAGAAAAAAAAGCUCAUAUCUUGGACCAUCCAGAGGCAGGCUAAAGAAUCAUUUUGGAGGAACCUUCUGUACAUUUUCCAGUUUCAUGGAAGUUAAUUAGGAAACGAAGGCAGAGUCCACAUUGCUUCUUUGAACAAAUGGAUUGAAUUAUUCAAAGAAAUCCCAAUUGUCAUAACAUGAUAGGUCGUCUAGUUUUUCCAUGCAUGUAAGAAGUCGCCAUUGACGAAGACCUUAAAGAACAACUAGCCAACUCUAUAAAACACAAUAUUUCAUUUCAUUCAUUUGGUUUUUCAAUAUACCAAACAAGUUUUUCAGAGGUGAUAUCAUAUCUUGAUUUCAACAAUGAGUUACUACAACAACCAGUAUCAAGCUUCAGCAGGUAAUUGAAUUUAUGUUCGGCUUGUGAAAAUCUUUUCUUUUUUUUUUCUUUUUUUAAUGUGAUUUAGGAAGUUAAUCAAAAUGGGUUACUAAAUUGAUGAUUUUUCAGGAGUAUAUCCUCCACCACCUCCAGCAUCUGGUUCAUAUUAUCCACCAAAGCAGGAGGUGUAUCCUCCUCCUCCUCCACCACAGUUUUAUCCACCACCACUAGUGCAAGGGUACUAUGAAGCCGGUCCUUAUGUUGCACCACCUCCAGUUAGUUACCCUAUGAGAUAUGGUCCUCAACACCACCAACAGCCACCUCCUCCUCCAGAAAAAACUAAGCAGAGGGGUGAUGAAUUUUGCACAGGAUGGUAACUGAGCAUUUUUUUUUUCCUUUUUAUUUAAAUAAUGAUUCACUGUGUACCUAUUUAUUUAUUUAUCUUUUUCCUAUGGGACACAGUUGCGCUGCCUUAUGUUGCUGCUGCCUCUUGGACAUGUGCUUUUAAGGACUCUGAAUGAUUCUUUGUAAAAUUUGCAGCUUAUAAUUGCUUCCCUUGUGUUUCUGUUUGCAAAUCAUAAUUAUUUUUGCUCUUUUUAUGUCACUGUACGUACUAUGUAUUCUUUAUUCACUCAAUAGCCUUCCUCUUCGAUUAAUAGGCAGGUAAUCUUCGGGUAUGGAGAAUUAAUUGUUUUUUAAAAUAUUUUUUAUUUAUAAAUAUAUUAAAAUAAUAUAUUUUUAAUUUUUUUUUAAUAUCAAUACAUCAAACAAAAUCUGAAAAUAUAUAAAAAAAAUUAAAUGUUUUUUUAUUUAUUUUAACCAACCCUUAACCCGUAAUUCUAAUCAGUGGCGAAAUCUUAAAAAGGAUCUCAGUACAUUAAUCAAAUUGCUGAUAGAUGGGCUAUAUAUAUAGACUAGUUUGUGUUUCAAAAGUUGAGGAGCUUGGUAACGGGACAGGCUCCACGGCGUAACCUACGCGAGUGGGAAGGGAGACUGUAGACUUCAGAAUAGAAAAGAAAAGGCUAAAGAAUUGAUGCAAUGAAACAUAACUAAUCAUUGUAUAUACUCUUAUAGGUUGUUUUACAUUACAUUUGUACUUGUGUUUUUUAAUGUAUUUUAAAGGUGAGUUUGGUAUAAAAAAAGACAUCGAAUUAAUUUUUAAAAUUUUUUAUGAUAGUUUUAAUGUAAUGAUGUUACUAAUAAGAAAAUUUUUUUAAAAAAAUUAAUAUAUUUUUUAAAAAAUACAUAUCAAACACAUUUGAUCUUCCGACAAAAGAUGAACUCAAAUGAUUUGUUAAUUCAAGUGCUGAUUAAUAGAAAGCAAGGUGAUUCAAGUGAUGAUUAAUAGAUGAACUCAUCUAAUAUAAAAAUAAUUCUAAGUGAUGUUUUUUAAAAUUUUAACCGCUCUCUAUUUAGCAUGCAAUCCUAAUCAGUGGCGAAAUCUUAAAAAGGAUCUCAGUACAUUAAUCAAAUUGCUGAUAGAAGGGCUAUAGACUAGUUUGUGUUUUGAACGUUGAGCAGCUUGGUAAUGGGACAGACAGGCUCCAUGGCGUAACCUGCACGAGUGGGAAUGGAGACUGUAGACUUUAGAAAAACAUAUAUUUAAAUAACAUAUAUUUUUAAUAUUUUUUUAUGGUUUUAAUAUGCUAAUAUCAAUAAUUAAAAAAUUAAAAAAUAUAUUUUAAUAUAUUAAAAAAAAAUAUUUUGAAAAACAUAUUUUACUAUAAUACCAAACACACAUUUAAUCAUUUUUCCCUUUUUAUUUAAAUAAUGAUUAACUGUAAAAUUUGCAGCUUAUAAUUGUUUCCCUUGUGUUUCUUGUUGGAAAUAAUAAUUAUUUUCGUUCUUUUUAUAUCACUGUACGUACUACGUUUAACAUUUGUCUAAUUCCUUCAGCCUUUAUUAUAGGAAAGAUGUUAACCAUGUUAGAAAAUCUUGCUUCCACUGAGUCUAUCUUAGAAACAGAAUUUGGAAGAAAAAUUGAUUAAAAAUUCAGUUUCUACAGAUUCAAAGUUCAUCGAGUUACCUACCGAAAUCAAUCUAGCGCCUGUCCAUAUCCGCUUAAGUGAUGGUAAGGGAAGCAUUAAGCGGCCGACACCAUAGAUAGCCACUGCAAAGAAAUGGAGAACCAAGUUCAUUGGCCGAUGGUCUAGACCAGAGAGUAGAGCUAUGGGUCCAUUCGAAAAAACUCCACCAAGGCUUAAAUAGUCAAAGCAAGGGUCAAAAUACGUGAAGAAAUAAGAUAGACUAAAAAUUGGAUUAAUAAAGAUAAAAACCGAGCCUUUUGGUUGUACUUUAAAUUGACUUAAUCUUAAUUAUUGUUCUCUGCAAAUAGGAAAUCAUAUGUACAGAAGCAGAUAAUGGAAUCAAUAACCUUCGGUCUGCGUGUAUUUUCCUAUAAUAUCAAAAGUGAAAAAAAUUAUUCUUUGAAUUCGUCAAGAAUAUAUGAAGUAUGUUUAUAGAAAAGGAUGCCGAUAAUGUUGAAAUAGGAGAAGAUUUCCUUUUGAUAUAUUUAGAUUCAAGUAAAAAUAUUCCUAGUUUAAAAAGAUUUGUAUUUAGGAUUUUUAUUAAAUUAAUAUUUAAAAUCCUUAUUUGAAAAAAGAUAGUUUAAAUUUAUCUUGAUUCUAUAAACUUCUUUUAAAUAUAAGGGUGAUAUGUGUUAAUUAUCAGUGAAUAAAGGCUUAGUAUUAAUUAAAGUUUCUUGGAAUAAAUCAAGUCUUGUUUUCAAAACAUGACAGCUACCAAUCUCACGGUAAGAUUUUAGGAGCGUAUCCACCGCCACCGAGCCAGCUGGGGCGCGAUGUCCUCCUCCUUCGCAAGCUUAUGCACUACCCGUCCAAGCUGGUCCGUAUGUUGCUCCACAUCCAGUUGAUUACCCUCCGACAAAUGGUGCUGAACACACCAAAAUAUCACCCCCUCCUGAAAAAGAAGAAGCAUAAAUGGUAACUGAGCAUUUCAAAACUCUCUCUGUGUAAAUUCCAUUGCAAAUAAUAAUUCAUCGUUAUAUAUAUAUAUAUAUAGAAAAAGAAUCAGCUUGCAUGCCUGGAGGUUGAUGGACAGAUCCUAUCUAAACCAAUCGAUGUGAAGCUAGCUAUCUUUAACUUUUUUCGCAACCUAUACUCCCACCAGAACAGACCUAGAGCUUCAUGUUCAAACCUGGAAUUCUCAAGGCUGAAGCCUUCAUCCUCGGCUGCUCUUGAAUUGCCAUUUUCUGCAGAAGAGAUUAAAACAGCUGUGUGGGAUUGUGAUGGAAAUAAAGCUCCAGGUCCUGAUGGUAUUAACUUCCUUUUCAUCAAGAAAGCGUGGAACAUUAUAGGUGAGGAUAUUAUCCAGAUGGUUGAUGACUUCUAUCGGACUAAUCUCCUUCCUGCUGGUAUCAAUAGCACCUUUGUUACUCUUAUUCCGAAGAUUAAAGGUGCAAACAAGCUAUCAGAUUUCAGACCUAUUAGUUUGGUUGGCAGCCUAUACAAGAUCAUCUCAAAGAUUCUAGCAACCAGGUUGAAACAUGUUAUGCCAGAGGUCAUCUCUCAUCAUCAAAAUGCUUUCCUCAAAGGGAGGCAAAUUUUAGACAGCGUCUUGAUUGCAAAUGAGGUCCUUUUUUUCAUUAAGAAGAAAAAGGGUAAAGCUUAUCUCUUCAAAUUAGAUUUUCAUAAAGCCUUUGAUUCGGUGUUAUGGGAAUAUAUUAAUGAAAUCAUGGCUAGUAUGGGCUUUGGCAAUAGAUGGCGAGGGUGGAUUAUGCAAUGCAUAUCAACGGCAAAAAUGUCUGUGCUUGUUAAUGGGUCUCCCACGGAGGAAUUCUGCUUAGCUAAAGGCCUACGCCAAGGAGACCCUCUCUCUCCGUUUCUCUUCAACAUUGCAGUCCAGGGAUUGAGUUAUAUGUUGCAGCGUGGCUGUGAUUUGGGUUUGACUUCAGGUAUCAACAUCGGCAAUGCAGGGCUUGUCAUAUCUCACUUACAGUUUGCGGACGACACCCUUAUAUUCAGUUCAGACUCUUUACAUAGCAUGCAGAACAUUAAAUGUAUCCUAUUAUGCUUUGAACUUGUCUCGGGGUUGAAGGUCAAUUUUUAUAAAAGUAGCAUUGUCGGUGUGGGUGUAGCAGCUCAUACAUGUAACUUCACGGCUCAGCUUCUCAGAUGCAAGCAGGAUCAGCUGCCUCUCAUGUAUCUUGGACUCCCCAUCGGUGGAAACCUGGUCAGAGCUACAAUGUGGAAUCCUAUUUUACGCAAUAUCAGUUUCCGGUUGGCUUCGUGGAAAUGCAGGUUCUUAUCUAUUGGGGGCCGUUUGUGCUUGAUUAAAUCUGUGCUCCGCAACCUCCCCAUCUACUACCUAUCUAUGUUCCCUAUGCCUGCUUCGGUUGCCUCCAUAAUUGAUCACAAACUUCGAUCCUUCCUCUGGUCUGGAAAUGAGGAAAGACACAAAAUUUGCAAUGUCAGCUGGGCCACUGUUACUCUUCCAAAACAAGCGGGUGGUCUUGGGAUUGGUCCCUUAAGGGACAAAAACACAGCUCUGCUCUUUAAAUGGUUAUGGAGGUUUGGGUCGGAGGAAUCAAGUUUGUGGACGGAUGUGAUCAAAAGCAUCCACAUCUCCAAUUGCUCUAAUCUGCUGCUGCAAGCUCCUAUUCCAUGAGCUGCAACUACAUGGUCCCGGAUUGUCAAUCAUUGUGUGAGAAAUAAUAAGCUGCAGGAUAUUGUGAAAGAGCAAUCUCUGGUUCUUAUCGGAAAUGGCAAGAAGACUAAAUUUUGGCUUGACUGCUGGCUUAAUAACCACUGUUUAGCAGAGCACUUCCCUACUCUUUUCCAAUUAUCCAAUGACAAAGCUGCCAGCAUUGCUAAAAUGGGAAUGUGGGAAGGGUAUGAGUGGAUUUGGGUUUUUUCCUGGAUACGUCCGCUACGGGGGUGCAGCAUUGGCUUGCUCGAUCAGCUUUAUGCAAUCCUAUCGACUGUACUCAUGGACAAAGAUGAAGAGGAUAGACUAAUAUGGAAGGACAAUAAUUCAGGAAGAUUUUCAGUUAAAUCUCUCUGUGGAUUGUUAAGCCCAAAGCCUUCCACAAACAAUGCCUUCUCGUUUGCUGGAAUUUGGAAAGGUAUUGUCCCUCCUAAGGUAGAGAUCUUUUGCUGGAUGGCUAUCAUUAACAGAAUCAACACCUGAUGCAUGUUGGUUCGAAGAGGUAUAUUGAGUAGCUCAGAAUCAAAUUGCCCUAUCUGCCUAGUGGAGGCAGAAUCGGUGGACCAUAUCCUGCUUCAAUGCCAUAAGCAUUGGCUCAUUUGGUCCAAAAUCAUUAAGUGGUGGGGUUUAGUUUGGUGUUGCCCAAAGAGCUUCUCAGAUUUGUGGUCUCAAUGGACUUCCAUGGUGCAUGGUCAUUUUCAGAGGAAAGCGUGGCUGAUGUUGUUCUUCUCAGUGGCAUGGUCUCUUUGGCUACUUCGAAAUGAUCUGAUCUUCCAACAGAAGACACCUGACUAUGAUUCAAUAUUCUUUCUUAUUAUCACCCGUCUAUGUCUAUGGCUAAAAGCUAUCCAUUCUGAUUUCCCAUACUCCCCUUCAGAUCUGAUUAGAUCGGCAGAUGGCUUACUUCGGUGGUCCAAUGCCCACUCCUUCAGGAUUCAUAAUAUGUGGUCUCCUCCUAUGAUUAAUAGCCUCAAAUGGAACGUGGAUGGCUCGUCUCUUGGUAAGCCAGUCCCUUCUGGAAUAGGUGGUGUACUGCGAAAUCAUCAUGGACAUCUUCUCGGUAUGUUCUCUGUUCCAGUUGGUAUUUUAGACUCUAAUAUUGCUGAGUUAAGGGCUAUUGUCAAAGCCAUUGAACUUUCAGCAUCUAAUUGUCUCUUCCACCAUCAACACCUUAUCAUAGAAUCUGACUCAGUCAAUGCUUUUUUCGUUUACCAAACAAGUUUUUCAGAGGUGAUAUCGUAUCUUGAUUUCAACAAUGAGUUACUACAACAACCAGUAUCAAGCUUCAGCAGGUAAUUGAAUUUAUGUUCGGCUUGUGAAAAUCUUUUCUUUUCUUUUCUUUUUUUCUUUUUUUAAUGUGAUUUAGGAAGUUAAUCAAAAUGGGUUACUAAAUUGAUGAUUUUUCAGGAGUAUAUCCUCCACCACCUCCAGCAUCUGGUUCAUAUUAUCCACCAAAGCAGGAGGUGUAUCCUCCUCCUCCUCCACCACAGUUUUAUCCACCACCACUAGUGCAAGGGUACUAUGAAUUGCCGGUCCUUAUGUUGCACCACCUCCAGUUAGUUACCCUAUGAGAUAUGGUCCUCAACACCACCAACAGCCACCUCCUCCUCCAGAAAAAACUAAGCAGAGGGGUGAUGAAUUUUGCACAGGAUGGUAACUGAGCAUUUUUUUUUCCUUUUCAUUUAAAUAAUGAUUCACUUUGUACCUAUUUAUUUAUUUAUCUUUUUCCUAUGGGACACGGUUGCGCUGCCUUAUGGUGCUGCUGCCUCUUGGACAUGUGCUUUUAAGGACGAUGAAUGAUUCUUUGUAAAAUUUGCAGCUUAUAAUUGCUUCCCUUGUGUUUCUUGUUGCAAAUCAUAAUUAUUUUUGCUCUUUUUAUGUCACUGUGCUAUGUAACCUUCCUCUUUGAUUAAUAGGCAGGUAAUAUUCGGGUAUGGAGAAUUAAUUUUUUAAAAAAAUAUUUUUUAUUUAUAAAUAUAUUAAAAUAAUAUAUUUUUAAAUUUUUUUUAAUAUCAAUACAUCAAACAAAAUCUGAAAAUAUAAAAAAAAAAUUAAAUGUUUUUUUAUUUAUUUUAACUUAACCCACCCUUAACCCGUGAUUCUAAACAGAGACGAAUGCUUAAAAAAUAAUCAUUUAAUUUUCUUUUUCCUAUCUUUAUUUAAAUAACCAUUUAGUGUAUACUUUUUUUUUUUUAUAUGUGACAGUUGUGUUGCUUUAUGUGACAGCUGCUGCUGCUGUAGCCGCCGCCGCUGUUGUUACUGCUGGGACAACUGCUGCUACUGCUUGAAAUCUAUUUUUGAAUGCUUUGGGAUUUGUGAGGGUGUAGGAGACUAAGACAAUUGAAAUAAUGGGAUAUGAGAUAGAAUAAGAGAUGGGGACACAUUAUUUUUAAUAUAUAUUGUGAGCAUUUAAUUUACCGUUUAGGAUUCUUUUCUUUUUUUGUGAUGCUUUUCUUCAUUUAAUUUUGCUUGUUAAAAUUGAAUUUACAACAAAAUAAAGAUGAACAAUGUCACACGUCACUCACGCGGAAUCACCAGCUGAUAUUUAAUUAAGAGUUACUAAAAAUCCAAACAUACUGAUCAUGAUUAGAAAAAAUAUUAACACCCCUAUCACACCCUACUUAAAAUAAACUAAAAAAUUUUUAAAAAUUUUAUUUUAUUAAAAAUACAAUUUACGUGUAAAUUUAUAAUUCUUUAUCAUUACCAAAUCAAAAUAUUAAAUUCUUCAAUAUUCUUUUCAAUUUUAUUAUAACUACAAAAAAACAUCCAUAAAAACAUUCAAACACACACAUACAUUUUUUACUAUAUUUUUUCUUUUUUCCUUGUCUUUUCCUUUUCCUUUUUUUUACAUCCACAAUACAUAACUUCAAAACAACUAUACAAAAAUUACAAUAAUAACCCCAAAACAAACUGGAAUUUACAGGGAACACCUUCUGCACCACCACAACAGUGUCAGGCAGACUUCUGAAGCUGCAAGACAGUGGCGGCGCGUC
rnacentral:lncRNA from 1 species